GCGGGUGUAGCUCAACUGGUUAGAGCGUCACGUUGCCAACGUGAAGGUUGGGGGUUCGAUUCCCCUCGCCCGCU
rnacentral:tRNA from 1 species